GACGUAGGGCGCAAGCGUUUGUCCGGAUUUAUUGGGCGUAAAGAGCUCGUAGGCGGCUUGCCACGUCUGCCGUGAAAACCAGCAGCUUAACUGUUGGCUUGCGGUUGAUACGGGUUGGCUGGAGUUCGGUAGGGGAGACUGGAAUUCCUGGUGUAGCGGCGAAAUGCGCAGAUAUCAGGAGGAACACCGGUGGCGAAGGCGGGUCUCUGGGCCGAUACUGACGCUGAGGCGCGAAAGCUAGGGUAGCAAACGGG
rnacentral:rRNA from 1 species